rnacentral:rRNA from 1 species
UGGGGAAUCUUCCGCAAUGGGCGAAAGCCUGACGGAGCAAUGCCGCGUGAGUGAAGAAGGCCUUCGGGUUGUAAAACUCUGUCCUUAUCGAAGAGAGGUGGGUAUGUGAAUAAUGUACUCAUAGGACGGUAGAUAAGGAGGAAGCCCCGGCUAACUACGUGCC